CGAGUGANGCGGUAAAAGCUCAAAUUUGAAAUCUGGUACUUUCAGUGCCCGAGUUGUAAUUUGUAGAAUUUGUCUUUGAUUAGGUCCUUGUCUAUGUUCCUUGGAACAGGACGUCAUAGAGGGUGAGAAUCCCGUUUGGCGAGGAUACCUUUUCUCUGUAAGACUUUUUCGAAGAGUCGAGUUGUUUGGGAAUGCAGCUCAAAGUGGGUGGUAAAUUCCAUCUAAAGCUAAAUAUUGGCGAGAGACCGAUAGCGAACAAGUACAGUGAUGGAAAGAUGAAAAGAACUUUGAAAAGAGAGUGAAAAAGUACGUGAAAUUGUUGAAAGGGAAGGGCAUUUGAUCAGACAUGGUGUUUUUUGCAUGCACUCGCCUCUCGUGGGCUUGGGCCUCUCAAAAAUUUCACUGGGCCAACAUCAAUUCUGGCAGCAGGAUAAAUCAUUAAGAAUGUAGCUACNUCGGUAGUGUUAUAGCUUUUNGGAAUACUGUUAGCCGGGAUUGAGGACUGC
rnacentral:rRNA from 1 species